GUCUACGGCCAUGUCACCCUGAACACGCCUGAUCCCAUCUGAUCUCAGAGCUGAGCAGGAGUGGGCCUGGUUAGUACUUGGAUGGGAGACCACCUAGGAAGACCAGGUGCUGUAGACG
rnacentral:rRNA from 1 species